AUUGCCUUGGAGAUCUUAAUGAGGCCUAGAUUGCUCUUCCUUGAUGAACCUACAAGUGGACUUGACAGGUUCACAUACCCUUGGUUUUACUUCUUGUUGGCAUCCAAUUGUGCUUGUUUUCACGCCAAUUCUCCACCACUGGGCCAAUUCUCCACCUGGUACUAAGGAGACUAUUGGACUUUGGCAAGAAACUUCCUUCUCUUGAUGCUCUUCUCAUCAAUGGGCAAAGAGAUUCUGCUGUCUUUACCGGUCAAGCAGGAAAGACUUACAAAUCAAAGUGUCCAAUGUUGGGUUAACGACAUCAAUCAACUUCAGGAUUCAAGGCCAC